GCACUGCGGAAGAGUCCCAUACUAGGACGAAACGGCCGUCCAGUGC
rfam:Schistosoma margrebowiei strain Zambia genome assembly, scaffold: SMRZ_scaffold0000678